GAUGAACGCUGGCGGCGUGCCUAAUACAUGCAAGUCGAGCGAACAGAUGAGGAGCUUGCUCCUCUGACGUUAGCGGCGGACGGGUGAGUAACACGUGGAUAACCUACCUAUAAGACUGGGAUAACUUCGGGAAACCGGAGCUAAUACCGGGUAAUAUAUUGAACCGCAUGGUUCAAUAGUGAAAGACGGUUUUGCUGUCACUUAUAGAUGGAUCCGCGCCGCAUUAGCUAGUUGGUAAGGUAACGGCUUACCAAGGCGACGAUGCGUAGCCGACCUGAGAGGGUGAUCGGCCACACUGGAACUGAGACACGGUCCAGACUCCUACGGGAGGCAGCAGUAGGGAAUCUUCCGCAAUGGGCGAAAGCCUGACGGAGCAACGCCGCGUGAGUGAUGAAGGUCUUCGGAUCGUAAAACUCUGUUAUUAGGGAAGAACAAAUGUGUAAGUAACUAUGCACGUCUUGACGGUACCUAAUCAGAAAGCCACGGCUAACUACGUG
rnacentral:rRNA from 1 species